GCCAGUGUGGUGUAGUGGUUUGUCCAUUGAACUACAACGCUGGAGAUCAGGGUUCGAUUCCCUGCUUGGCCA